GAGAGCAGAGGAGGGAAAGGGGAGGAAGGAGAAGAGAUGGGCGAGGCGUAUCCGGUCAACCAGCGUCGGUUCCGGGCAUGUGGUGGAGGACGAGCUCGGGGAGGCGCUGCUCCAAACAUUGGCGACGGCUACACCUGCUACUAAUGAGAAACAAUAGAGAGAUGUGAGGUUGAGAGAAGAGAAAGAAGGGAGAGAAGAAACAGAGAUGGGAGAGCGAGAGGAGGAGCACAGGGCGACCUGCUGGUUUCGCAUGCGGGCGACGGACGUGUCCGCGGAUGCUGCUGCUGCUGCAAGGAGGAGGAUAAGAUCGAUCUCCUUGGGUGUGUACUCGCGCGAGGAUAUGAGAGAAGCUUGGGAGGUUCUGCUCGCAGCCGGGUAGCAGGGGAGGGCGAACUAGGGCGCCUCGUCCUCUCGCUCAGGCGAGAGUAGAGUGAAGGCGCAUUACUGCUGC
rnacentral:lncRNA from 1 species